AGUACGCUGCUCUCUCCGCAUUCGGCGGGUCCCCGUUGACGGCGCGUGAGGGGAGCUGGCGGGGCUCACCGUGGUUCCUGCACGCGGUCCACGACUCAUGGUGGACCGGGUGAGGGAGGGGGGUAGUGGACCCCGGCUGUGGGAGAGGGGGUGGUGGGCCCCUCUCUCGGUCUCUCCCUUUUCGAUCACGUGUGUGUGUGUAGAGUAGAGCUAGAAUACUUGUAAAAGUAUCACCCAAGUGAUACUUGUGUGUUUUUAGCCCUUGGAUGGAGAGAUGUGAGGUUGAGAUGAUGGUGGUAGGUGGUGGUAGGUGGAAUAGUGUUUGAUUCAAGGACUAUUAGUAAUCAAAAAGUAGAUCCAAUGGCUAAAAACACACAUGUAUCACUUGGGUGAUACUUGUAAAAGUAUUCUAGCCCUACUCUAUAUAUAUAUAUAUAUAUCUUGGAAUUUUAGCUCUUUAUUUUUUUAGAUUUACUUUUGGACGUUAGAUUUAAUUUUUUUAAUCUAAUGCAAUGCCGCUUAGGAUUAAUUAUCUUAUUAUGUUAUCAUCUAUUUAGUUUCCUUUUCAAAUUUUCAUAUCUCUUUAUGUCAUCGCAAUAAAUUACUUAAAAUUAAUCCAUCUUAGUUUACAAAAUUUCAUAGUUGAAAAAAGUUAAAUUAAAAACUGUAAUAAAUUACUGUUGUAUUUGCUUCUCGCUGCAACGCGCGGGUUACCUUAACUAGUAUUAUAGGAUAACCCGUUAAAAGAGUAGAGUUGAUGAUAAAAUAUAACUAAUUAAUAUAUUAUUUAUUACUUUAUUUACUAAAUAACUAGAUAAAUAAUUAACCACCUGAUUAAUUACUAUAAUAAAAAUUUAAUUAACUAUUUGAGUAAUUGAUUUAUUAUUUAUUAUUAAUUAGCUAACUGAAAAAUUAAUUACUUGAUGUCUUUAUGCAAUAACUAAUAUUUAUUGAUUAACCAAUUAAUAUUUUGACCAAUCUAACUAAAUAAAUAGAUAAGUAACUAAUUAAUUUUGUUAAUUUAUUAAUUUAUUUAUAGUUAGUUAAUUUAUUAGCUAACAUUAAUAAUGAUUAAUUAAUAUAUUAAAUUAUUAUUUAAUUAAUAUGUUGAUGUUUAUUAAUUAUGUAAAACUAUAAUUUCUACUGUUUCUAUUGUUUCUAUCUGGCUAUCCAAAUACUAUUUUUUUAUUCUCGAAAAUAAUAUAAUUUUCAUCUAAAUGCAAAGUUGAUCUUAUUUCUGCUUAUUUCUGAAGUUACACAUAUUCUCAAAAUAACAAAAAAUAAGUUAUUUCUAACCUAAACGAUAAAGAGGAAAAGUAGCUUAUUUUUUGUACAAUAGGAAAGCGAAACAAAACGUUUCACUAAUUCUUUUUAGUAUUUAGAAUAAGUUGCGGGUCUUCGUUGUUACGGAAAUGUUUUCAUAUGUAACUUAAAUGGACAAAAAUAUUAAAUCUUUAAAGUAACAAGUAAUCUAAAUAGGAUUGAUAACAUUCAUUUAAACUUUUUUCUAUAAAAUAAUAUAAAAACAACUUUUUAAAUAUUAUUUAAACUUAAAUUUAUAAUAUUAUUUAUAUAUUCUCUCUGGAAUAAAUUACUUGCCUCACCAGAAACCAAAAGUGGUGAACUUGUAACAAUUUGGGAUGAGAACAGCCAAAACGGUAAUGGUAAAAAAAGGUACCAUAAACUACUACAAUGAACUCACUCUUUGCAAUCUACUGCAAAAUAACUCUUUUUAUCUUUUUUGAGAAAAAGAUAACACGCUACCCGCUUCAUUCAUUCACAGGAUGAAUUAAGCUAUAUGGGUGAGGCAGCAAGGCCUCAAGGGUGGUGAAAAAAAAAAAUUCGUGUAUUGGUUAGAGAUUCUCCCACAGAGACAUCAACUGCUUGAUUUUGUGUAAACCACCUAAGGGGUCCACCUGUGCCCUUCUAAAAAUCACUACUUUCCUGCUCUCCCGUAUAACCCACCAGCAGACUAUUAAUCCAAUAAGACCAUUGCUCGUGGGUAGUGUCCCCUGCCGACCUUUCCACCUAUCCCAUACCAGUUGAACGUCGUCACUCAAGUCCUCUAAUUCGACGUCCUCCAGUGACUCCACCAGAAGAAAUCGAAAAAACACACACUGAGAGAAAAGAUGAUCCACAGUUUCCACUUCGAACCCACACAACACGCAAGUUGUGUUGUUAGCCCAUCCUCUUUUUAACAGGUUAUCCGCAGUAAAGUGUCUCUUCCUGAGGACGAGCCAUCAGAAUACUUUCACUUUAAGAGGAAUACGACUCCAGAUCCCCUUAGAGCGGUAGUCUCUCGUGCCCCCAUCGCACAGCGCAUAGUGCAGCGUAUGUAGAUUUUACAGUGAACCGCCCGUGGGUGCUCCACCACCAAACCACACUGUCCGCUCCUUGGCCAAUUCUGUAAUUAGAGAUCCUUUCUUUAAGAGCCGAUAUGCAUAUAUUUAUCCUGCAUGUGGUCUUGAACUUUAUUUAUGUAGUCCUUGAACUUUAUCUCUAUUACACAUAACAGCUUUGGCCAUUGAAACCUUUUGGAGGACUCUUUUGGCAUUUAGCCUUCUCAAAUAUUUCUUUUUCACAAAUAGCUCCUAUAAAAUUAUAUUUAUAUGAAUAACUCUCUUCUUAUCCACACGAAUGCCACGUUGGAUAGAAAAGGCCACUAGAAAUUUUAAGUUGAAUACAGUAACUCAUUUAUUGUGUUGUAGUACACAAUAAUUCCAGCAUGGCACUUGUGAGGAGAAGGAGAGGGCCACUCCUAAAAUUAUAACUUGUAAAAGCUAUUUGCAAUUUUUUUUUUCUGGAGGCUAAAUGUUAAAAAGCUAUUUUCUGAACAUGAAAAUAAACUAUUUAGACAUAAUUUACUCAGCACAAAAAAAAAAUUCAUAUGAUUGGAAGUUAAAAAAAUUUAGUUAUAAUAUAUUCUUUUUAGAAAAUUUUAUUAUGUGAUUAAAAGUUGAGAGUUUAAUUUUUGCUAUUUGAAAGGUUUUAAUAUUUAUGAUUUGGUUGGAUAGUAUGUAUUAUUUACAAGGCGAUUUAUUUUUAUUAUGUAAAAAUAACUUAAAUAUUUAAUAUGAUCUUGUACUCUAAAAGUUGAUAAUAUUUUUUAUCUAUCAAAUAUUACAGAUUUUUUGAAUAAAUUAAAAAAUAUGUCACAUAAUAAAAUAUUUAUACAUCCAAAUAAGUAUAAAACAAUAUUCUAAAAUUAAUGAUAAUAAUAAUAAUAGUUUCGCGGCCAGAGGUUAUAUUUUUUUUUUAUAUAUGAGAGAAUAUUUAGGGACUAAAGCAUCUAACUUGAAAUACUAUGUUCACAAUCGAAGGAGGGAUUGUAAUCUGAAUGUUAUAAUCUUCCCACCUUGGGUUUUAAAAAACUUUUUUGGAUUUUAAUAAUAAAAAAGCUAAAUUACAAAAAAAAAUUCUGUCAAAACUUGAUUUUUCACUUUCCUCCCCUGUCAUUUAAAAAUCUACCCCCUUAUAAAAUGAAAAAUGUUCACAAGGGGUACGGUCUGAACUGUGAUGAUAAAAUGACCAUUUUGCCUCUCAUCAUUUUGCCCCUCAUCAUGUUCACAGGAGAGUACGUUGAGGGCAUUUUUAGCAUAAAAUAUAUAUAUAAUAAUAUUUUAUAAACGGAACCCUAACGGAUUACUAACAACAGAGGCGAAGUGAACAUUUUUCAUUUUAUAAGGAGGCAAAGUGUAGGUUUUUAAAUGACAAGAAGAAAAGUGAAAAAUCAAAUUUUAACAGGAAACUUUUAUAUAAUUUAGCCUAAUAAGAAAGAGUGAUAAUUAUCACUCAUAGAAUAAUAUACACCCUUUCGAUGAUAAGGGUUGUGUGAUAGCAACUAAAAUUUGGUUAUAAACUUAGCAUUUCUCAACUUGAAAAUUUUCCAACGGUGCUCUUCACUUAAAUAUUUGAUUCUAUAUAUUAAAAUCAAAAGUGUGAUAGGGUUGCACGAUUUACCAACUCAUUCUUAGCUUUUAGUUAAAAAAUAGAAAUGUGAUCAGACAAGUAAGAGAAACAUAUUUUUGAUUUUUGAAUAACGUGAAUUGAAGGAUUGUAACCCGAAGUGGGUUGUAGACCUAGCUCUACUUAUUUACUUCUUAUUGAUAGUUAAAAAUAACAUUUUUCAAAAAAAAUUUGGCUAAAAUAUAGAAAACCUUCUAUAAAUGUCUGUGUUUUCACUUUUUCUAAUUGAUUUGUAAAAACUCUAUAUUUUAUUAUCUUAAAAUUUUAAGUUGAUUCAUUUAGCCCGCCUUCAUUAGCGUCCAUCAUUAUUCCGUCCAAUUCUUAUAAUUUUUAUUUAAAAUUUUCUUAAAAAUAACAUAAAUAUAUUUAAAAACUAUUAUUUUUCUUUUGCAGAACAAAUAAGGGCAAUUUGAUUAUUUCGUCUUCUUUAUUAACGCCGUAACAUUUCUGAAAAUAUUUCUAAAAUUUUAAGAAAAAAAAUAAAAAUUUUUGAAAGUUAGAAAAAAUUUUUAAAAAUAAAUAUUUACAGAAAGUUUCUGCAUAUAUAAAAGCAAAUUUUUUUUAUUAGUUUUAAUUUUUAUAAAAUUGGACCAUAUUUUUAGAUUGGGUUAAUUGCAUACAACACCCUAUAAAUAUAUCGAAUAGCAGGCAUAUAUUCCUAUAAAGUUUAAUUUUUUAUUGUUACCCUUGCAAAAGCCUAGUGAUAUCCAUAUUUGUUGCUCUGGUUUGUUAUUGUUAGAGGACUUUUUAUUUUUUAACAGGAGUCCGACUACUAUACUAUCGAUAAUACUAAGCUCUUGAUACUAUUGAGUUUUCUACCGUCAGAUCUAUCCUUUUAUCAUUUCCACCCAUUAGAUUAUACUAUUAAACCAACCACCCACUCAACCCUAGGAGAUCAUUAUCAUCAUAACCACUCAUCUUUUCAUCAAACGGCCGAAAACUCAAUAGUACUAAGGGCUUGGUACUAUUGAUAGUAUAGUAGCAUAAUUCUUUUUAACAGUAAAUAAGAAAAAGAUAUUUUUGCUUUUAUAAAUAUAUCUCUCUAAAAGCCCAUUAUGCAGAAAUGUCCUCUAAAAAAUAUUUUUAUUCAAUAACAUAAAAAGGGUAAAAACAUCAAUUUAAUCUAUCCAGUAAGCCGGAUUAAAUAUUUUACUUAUAAUUAACUGUAUGAUGGUAACAACGUAGGGAUAUUUGAAAAUGGUAGGACUUUUGUAGGGAUAACUAUAAAAAAUUAAACUUUUAUAGGGAUAUAUCUAUUAUUUGAUUUGUUUACAGAGAGUUGUAUGCAAUUAAUGUGAGACCUAGAUAGUUCUAUAUAGGGUUAAAACUCUUAACCCGGCUUAAACAUUUUGGUGGUGACUAAGCUCAAGAAGUUAAGAGAGUUAAGUAUGUUAUGAUGGAAGUAGUCGGGUGACCCCCCGGAAAGUUAGGGCGUCACAGUUGGUAUUAGAGAUAAUUACUGGCCGAAAAUGUGAAAUGAGCCUCGCGGUGAGCCAGAAUUAUAUAACGGGGAGAGCGAGGCUCUUAUAUUGUUGACUGUUGUGGGUGGACCGCAGCUCAUCACAAGAUCGAUUUAGGCUAGCGAGACGAAUCUCUAGGGGUGGAAUUAAUUUCAAAUUCGACUUGAAAUUAAUUUCGACCUUAAAUUUAAGCUCAAGCUUAGAUUGAAAUUAAUUCGAGCCGAGCUCGAGCAAGCCUAAUUUCGAGUCGAGCGAGCUCGAGCCCUAAACGAGUCGCUUGAAAUUUCCAAUAUCAUACGAUCAAUAAUUUAAUUUGUAUACAAUAUUAUCUAUAAUUUGAUACAAAAAUAUGUCUAAUAGUUCAAAGUAUAAAAUAAUUAUAUAAAAUAUAGUAUUAUAACUAGUGUAGGGCCCGUGCUUUGCGGCGGGUAAAUAAUAUUUUAUCAAAUUUAAAUAUUUUAAUUUAUACAAAUUUUAAUAAAUAAUUUGUAGUAUUUUAGCAAAUUUAAAAAUUUAAAUUUAUACCCAAUCCAAACGGGCCCUAAGUGUAUCAAAUAUGAUACAGGGGAUUAUUUUCUGCCUAUAUAAAAAUAUAUACUAUAUCAUAUAUGUGUAAUAAUAAAUUAUCUAUAGAUGAACAUAUCAAAUCUUGGUGGCAUUGUGUAUUAAAAAUUAAUAGAAAAAUAUAAAGAAAAAAAAACCAAUUGGUUAACUUACACUAAGUUUUUAAUUGAUUAUCUUAUUCUCUAAUCAAAUGAAUAUAUUAAUUUGAUCAGAUAAAUCUACUUUUUCCAUGAAGGAUAAUGAUGUGAAUUGGCUAAAAAAAUAAAAAACUGGGACGCUAUGAAUGCAUGACAAAAAAAAAGAAAAGGAGAAUAAGGUAAUCUAAUUGGGAAAGCAAGAAAAGAAACAAUAUUAUUGACCAAAAACCUAACAAAUUUUUCACUCUACUCUAACCAAUAUUUAUAGUGUGCUUAUAAUUGUAAAUUUUUAUAACUGUUAUCUAUGAAAAAAAAAAGACAAUAUAGAAAAGAGUAAAUGAUGAAUUUAAUUUUCUUAUUUAAUUUCUAUUAGAUGAACUGCCAAACUAAAAAAAAUAUUAUUGAUAACUUUAUUUAAAGAUUCCACCCUUAGAAAAAAAAACGGUCAAAUUAAAUGUGCAUUAAUUUAGAAAUUUUUAUUUGUUUAAAGUAGAGAAUAAAGUUAAUUACUUUCGAUUACUAAUAAUGGAAGCCAAAAAGAUUAUUAUAUAUAUGACAAUAUUGGAUUAAUUAUAUGUAUUAAUUAUAUAUUAAAGUAUAGUUAUUAUUGUGAUUCAUGAAGCUAAUUACUUCGGUUACUAAUCAUGGAAGCCAAAAAGAUUAUUGACAAUAUUGGAUUAAUUAUAUGUAUUAAUUGUAUAUUAAACUAUAGUUAUUAUUGUGAUUAUAUAUUUAUAUCAGUUAUUAAUCAUUAAAUUUCUCAUUUUCUUCUUUCAAAGAGAGAAUGAAAGAUGACUUGCCACGUGGCAAAAAUUAUUCUGGCUUCAUAUAGUUUUAUAGAUAUGAAAAAAAAAUUAUGAGUUGAAUAUCUAAUCUUUUCAGCCUCACAUGUCUUUUCUUCCACCUUCAAUCUCCAUAUUAUUCAUUUUCAUUUAUGCAGUCAAAAAUAAAUAAAUUACAUAGAUAAAUAUUGGAUUAAACUAUCCAAUCAUAUAUAACUAAAAUUAAAAUUUAUUAUAUGAAUAAUAAUUUUUUACUUUAAAAAUAUUAUGUAUAUUUUCUCAAGCAUACAAUUAAUAGCAAGAUAGGCAACGGCAGCCAUAUGCUGCUACUUGGUUUCUUGGAGGGCUUCUGGCUUGGCCACAUAGGGUGAGAGACAGAAAUAGAGAAAGAGAGAAACAUAUUGAAAAUUUUAUAUAUAUAUAUAUAUAGAGUAUGGCUAGAAUACUUGUAAAAGUAUCAUGGGGGUGAUACUUAUAUGUUUUUAGUCCUUGGAUGGAGAGAUGUGAGGUUGAGAUGAUGGUAGUAGGUGGUGGUAGGUGGAAUAGUGUUUAAUUCAAAGGCUAUUAAUAAUCAAAAAGUAGAUCCAAUGGCUUAAAACCUAAUAGCACCAUAAUAGUGAUACUUGUAAAAGUAUCAUAGCUCAACUCUAUAUAUAUAUUAUAUAGUGUAGAACUAUUAUGUUAUCAAAAAUAUAGUGGAUUUGAUGUUUUUGAAAUUUUUGACCUUUUGAUUAAGAAUUGUAUGGUUGGGAUGAUUGUGGUCCCCCAUAGGAUUAAAUAAUAUCCCUAGAAUUGAGUGGUCUCUACAAGAUAAUAAUAGUAUUAAUUCAUAAAAAUGAUUAGUUGAUCUAAAAAUCAAAAAUUCGAAAGCACCAGAUCCUCUAUACUUUCGAUAGCAUAGUGUAUAUAUAUAUAUAUAUAUAUAUUAUUCGAGCUUUUCGAGCCUAAUUCGAACGAGCCAAAUAAUACUCAAACUCGGCUUGAAAUGAAUUUCGAGCCUUUGUUUUUUGUUCAAACUUGGCUCAUUUAAUUUCGAGUCGAGCUCGAGCGAGCCAAAUAUCGAGUCGAACGCGAGCCGGCUCGCUCAUUUGCCAGUCCUAUGAAUCUCACAUUGCCUAGUACUUAUGCGUCUGAAACUGACGAGAACGUCAGGACUUAAGGGAGGAAGAAUAUGAGACCCCAAAUAGUCCUAUAUGUAAGAUAUAAUAGGACUAAAAUUUUUAACCCGAUUUAAGUAUUUUGAAUGAUGGCCAGAUACAAAAGGUUAAAAUAAUUAAGCGUGCUAGGAGGGGGCGUCACAAUUAACCCUCUUAGAUUUUACAGACUCAUUCCAGAUUUUUUUUUUUUAAUUAACUAAAUAUUCUUUUCUUUUCUCUCUUCCUCUAUCCCAUCACUCUCAUCUGACAUCUCCGUCAUUCAAAUUUUUAACCGUAAAAUUUGACGGGAUAAAA
rnacentral:lncRNA from 1 species